UAUGCAUUGGCUUCAUUCUUAAGCAGGCUCUCCAGUCCAGAGGACAAGAUGCACUCCAGAGCCCGACUGGUGAUUCUGCUGCCCAGUCAAGACUGAAAUAUUCUGCUCUAGGAUAAGAUAUUCUGUAAAAAAAAUUUAGAUUUCCUCUUAGGGACAAGAUCUUGUGUCAAGAUUGGAAUGAUUUUUCCCAAUCAGCACAACUUUUCAGAAAAGAACCACUGGGGGUGAUGGGGUUGUGUAGCUCAGUGGUGGAAGGCUUGCCUGGUGCAUGUGAGACAUAGGGUUCGAGUCUCAGCAUCACAUAAAAAUAAAUAAAUAAAA